GCCCUGUGGUUCCUGGAAUCUGUUAUUCUGUGCAGCUUUCCAGGCUUGGAAAAAGGGCAUAGAUUAAUUCUGUGAUUUUUGCGUGGAGCCUGCAUAUUUUCAUGUCAGUCUCCAUAGCCCGGUCACAGGAACAUUU